GACGCCGCGGUGCUCCCCUGUUCCGCAAGAUACACAGAUAAAAGUCACAAAAUGGCACUUAUUCAAACAAGACUGAAUAAUUGAUCAAACAGGUUGAGGACUGCAAGUAUUUAACAAAUAUAUGGUGGUGCUCUUGAUCUGGCAGAAAAGUGUAUUCGAGCCGAUUUGCGCUAUUAGGCGUGCGCCGAUACGAUAGCAGUAAAUUACUGGGUAAUCAGAGCGACGAUGCAUAUGCAGGUAAUCUGACAGAGAAGCAGUAAAAGGAAGAAAUUUUUAUUCCGGAUUCAGAGUUUGGCACUGCCGACGGACCUAGGUUUUCGAAUCGAGAGCGAUGCGGACGUACCUAGGUUUUCGAAUUGUGGGGUCUAUCCGCUGGAAGACCUGGUCGCCUUCGCUGGCUCGAGGUCGCCGUUUCCUGAUGGCCGCGCCGUCGGAGACGAGGUCGCCGCCUCCGGUGACCUCCCUCUCCGAGGUAAGUGGGGAGAAGACUGAUGUGCCCUCGCAGGAGAGUCCUCCACUGUACCCCGCCGCCCGCGCGUCGUCGGCCUGGGCCUGAUCGGAGUUGGGGAAGAGGAGGAGGCGACCGCGACGGCGGCACGGCGGGGGCGAGUUUGUCGGCGCGAGAGGGGAGUGGCUAGCCAAGCUUGGGGUAGGAGAGACUGAGAGAGUGGGCUGGAUAAUGGGCCGUUUUGGGUAAAAAAAAUUGACGAGCGGAUUGGAGGGGCCCAGAAACCUCGCAAAUACCCGUUGGCCUGUUUGGUAAGCGUGGCUUCGAAGGCCCAAGCCUCCCGAUUCCCCUUCGAUCCACUAGCUUCCACGGGCUUCAGAACCCUCGAGGCCCCCCUCGAGGAAUUGGUCGCCCGACUCGACUGGACACGCCGCCGCUCGACUCAGACACGCCGCCGCGACUCCUCCCCAAGUCGCCUCGACGCCGGCGAUCUCCUCCGGCAUACUAGACUUCUCCCCGGUGGUUAGUCAUCGCAGCCCCUCCCCUCCCCUCCCCCCUCCUCUCCAUGGCUGCCCCCUCCCGCAUGGCCUCCAGGCGGCGGUCCUCCAGCCGUGUCGCCUCCAUCUGCUUGGCCGCCUCAGCCCGCUCGUACGUCCCCGCCAGCCUAUCCAGAGCAGCCGCAACCUCCGUGCAGGCUGCCCCUCCGUUCCCGUGGUGAUGCUCCGCGGAGGAGCUCGGCGGCGACAACGAGACGGCCGUCCUCUGCCGCUUGGGCACCGGCGGCCAGUCGCGGUACAGGGGAGACCCGCCGGUCUCCUCCUCGUCCUCCUGGCAGUCCUCCCGUUCGACCUUGGGUGAUGGUAGUGGUGAUGGUAUGCAGCGGGCGGAGCUGUUCUAAGAUCUGUGCCUGAUCUGAUGUCUAUCAUCUUGCUGUCAUCAGUAUUGUUGUAUCACAUGUUUCAGUGAAGCCUACCGGCAAGCGGCAACACUGCCUUGAGAUAUUAGAUUGGCUCCUUUGUUUCACAAAUACAAUUGUAUUUUAGCAUUAAGUAAAUUUCCUGGAUUACCACAAAUAUGAUGAACUAUACAGAAUUUGAUCAUGGCUUGGAUAGCUAUUGAGCGUCAGAUCAAUUCAGCUUAAAUAAUACAUACAAAUUUACAAGUGAUUAUGGCUGCAACAAUGCAGUCCACGACCACUUCAACUGUCUAUAUGACAACAAGUUUACUCUAGCAGUUUUGGCUAUGUAUAAACAUGUAGGUCCUCAAUACUGAGAAAAAGGUUAAAUGUAAUCCUACACGAGAUUAUCGGCCUCUAUUUAAUUUGAGCAUAUUUGGAUUGGAGACGAUGAUUUACAAUGAUUUACAUGAGAUUAUAGGACAUACAGUGAUUUACUAGUUUGUAUCAGUUUUUUCAUUUAUUUUUCUCCUAUAUUUUUGAUUAGCCUAAUAGCUGAUGCUUUCCGUUUGAGGCACAGCUUGACUCAAAACUGAAUAAUGCAGUAGUAUAUUAUCUUUGUAUAACUGUUGUUGCUAGUAGUUAAUUGGUACGUAGACACGGAAGGACAGAGUGGUCAGUUCGGGAGCUCGUCCUGCUAGCUGUCUAGUUUACAAUUCAUGUCAUACUAUCACUUUUGUUCAGCUAUUUGAUAUAACAGUUUAAAUUAUAGAAAAAAGGAUUUACAAUUCCUGUCAUAAUAUCUAUAUUGAGCUUUACUGCUGCCCUUGGAAUUAAAACAUGUUAAUGCUGGAUGUGAUACUAGCGACAUGAAUUAUCAGCAACCUAGAAUGUUACUGUCUGGAAAACAUAAUGCUAAGUUUAUCUGCCUAUUUGACAAUUUUCCUACUUACAUAUGAUGCCAAGUGUGCAUUAAAGUUUAUCCUCGCCAAUGUUUCGUGUCAAGGAAUUCCCUCUCUCAAUGCUUGUACUAGCUAGCUAGAACAUUACUCAACAAAUCGCUGGAUGCAGGGUAGACGCACACAUGUGACAUGUCCUAAGAAUAAGAUGCCUUUAUAGUUAGUUGCAUAAUCAGAACUGUCCAUGCCUGGUAGGCUGGUAUCUAGGAAGUUGCAUAAUCAUUAUAUAGUAGUCAAUGGCAAACUGGAUAAGAUUUUGAAAUGCGAUCUCAACUAAUCGUUCGAAAUUCAGAAUGCAAAUCCCUAUAUACUUUUCUACAAUAUUUUUUUUACAUAGUUUUAUGAUCGCUGCGAGCACUUCAGUAGAAAUGUUUGCACAUAAUUUGGCGCGCAAACUUAGUUGCACUUGCUGUUACUUCAUUAACAUAGUGCUUGCCUUUUGGGAGGACUUCAGUAGAAAUGUUUACAUAGUUUUGUGAGACAGUAGGAAUUACAGAUCAUUGCAGUUGCUUAGGUGUUAGCUUUCUCUUCCCAUACCGGCAUUUAGUCAUAGUGCUUGCCUUUUGGGAGGAGGGAAGGGCAAGCUAGUCUUGAGGCUGUCUCACCUGAUGUACUGACAAUGUACAUUGUUGAGCCAAUUGUCUGUUUUGUCAGAUAAUUAACUUGAUGCACAAUAAUUGCUUCUUAUGGAUGUGUGAUAUUUUCACAUCACUGCAUGUGUAUUCCUUCUGCCCUUUGGUAUGGAUAGUACAGUCGUCCCCCUGAUUUCUGUAUGUCUUAGCAGCAUAUGUGCAUAUACACAAUUUUUCUUGUGUUAGGAAAUUCAUCCAGCUCCAUGUGAAGAUAGAGUUUUCAGUCGGAAACAAAUUUAAUGCUCCCUCCGUCCCACAAGACAAGACGUUUUUGCAAGCUAAAUAUGCUUGCAAAAGCGUCUAUAUGUGGGACGGAGGGGGUAAUUUUUAACAAGAUAGGAGCUAGAUUUAAGCCUUAUUAAUAUCUCCACCCAUCGGUGUGACAAAACUCAGAAACUGUGUUCUGCAGUUUAAUAAAUGUGUUUUGAAGAACAUCAUUUGCUUGAAGUGGUAGCUAGCAGUUAUAUUUCCUUUACUCAAUAGUAAUACAACAUUACGCUCCCCAUGUUUAUAGAAGGUGUAAAUACCUUUGCUGUGUUGCAGAUUCUUGAGGUUUCAAGUCUGUUGGAGGAAGGCUCGUCCGUCAUCAAGAGGAACUCGCUGUCAAUUCAUCUGUAGGACAACAUCAUUCUCACCCUUGCUUGGUCUGUAAAAAUAUAAUUGAUUGUGAGCUAUGAGAGAUUAUGUUGCUGUGAUGUGAUUGAUAUUGCCGUGAUGAGAUACUGAUUCCAAGUCAAGAUGUGAAGAACUGCUGUCACAUUUUUAUUAGGUGUCAUUCACAAUCUUCUAGCAAGUUUGUCUUGCUAUGAUGCUAUUUAACCUGUAAAGAUUGGAUUUUUAACUGUUUCAGACCAUUUUAACUCAAUAGGGCAAUCCCUGCCUACCAAACAGUGUUUUAUAUGGAGGGGAUUGUGGCGGGAGAGGGAUUUCAGGUUUCAAGGGGAUGUGAGGGGAUUGGGUGGAAGAGGGGGAUUCACCAAAUCCCCUGAAAUCCCCUCCUCCCCAAACCUCUCAAAUCCACUCCUACCAAACAA
rnacentral:lncRNA from 1 species